GAGCGGUCAGCACAGAGCCGGAUGCCGGGCUCACAGUGAGAACAUGACCUGAAGCCCAAGUCGGAUGCCUUAACCUACCGAGCCACCCAGGCACCCCAUUGGCAGCUUUAUUUUUAAGGUUAACACCACCAACAAUGCUUCCCAUUUCUGGAUGCCCAUGCUGCUGUUCCUUUCUGAGGUGGUGUCGUUAUUGAGCAAGAAGUCCAACUUACUCUCAGGAGAGUAAGGCCCAGCCAGCCCCCAGUGGUUCCAGCCCCAGAUGAGCUCCCAGUUGAAUUUACCAGUGACCCAGCAAACAUCCUGUGGAAGAACUGCCUAGCUGCAUCUGGCCAUCCCUUGGAAUGAUCAUCCUGGAUCUUCUGGGUGAGCCCCAAAUCCAAAGAAUGAGAAGUGUCCUGAUAAGAAACAGAUGAGGGGCAUCUGGCUGGCUCAGUUGGUAGAGCAUGCGACUCUUGAAUUUGUAAAUUGGAGCCCAUGUUGGGUGUAGAGUUUACUUAAAAUCUUGAAAAGAAAAGAAAAGAAACAGAAGAAGAGAAAACAGAGAGAAGAAAGCAAAGAGACGGAGGUGGAGCCAGAGGAUGGAAUGACAUGGCCACAGGCCAAGGGAUGCCCCGGGGCCACAGGAUCUGAAAGAAGCCGGGAGGGAUCCUCUCCUAGAGCUUUCCGAGGGAGCCAGGCCCUGAUGUCACCUUGAUCUCAGACUUCCGGCCUCCAGAAAGGUAUGAUCUUGGAUGAGCUAACCUCUCUGGACCUCAGUUUCUUCAUCUGUAAAAUGGAGAUGAUAAUAAUAACACCUGUCUGUUAAGGUCACCCACUGAAAACUUAAGGAAUGAAGAGAAACUUUGUUUUGUUCCAUCAGAAAUCUGGGCGAGAAUAAUUUCAAACCAUGCUGACAAAGGAGUCAUCAAAUUGCUGUUAAGGUCCCUUUGCACUGGGGCCAUGGACUGGAGCCAUUCUAGGAGACCCCUUCUACAACUUCAGCUGUUUUCACAUUCCCAUUUCCUUUUCUGCGUAAAUCUACCAGAAUCAGUUUCCAGUGCUUGCAUUUGUGAAUCCCAACUGGUGGAGGUUUCCUUGGAACCCAAGUGUGGAGCACAUCCAGGCCUCACCAGGAACCAGAAAAACAGCCCUCGCCAUGCUACUUGGCUCAGAGUGACCAUCAAUAAUUGUUGCUAUUGGGGCACGUGGGUGGCUCGGGCGGUUGAGUGUCCGACUUCGACUCAGAUCGUGAUCUCGUGGUCUGUGAGUUUGAGCCCGGCAUCAGGCUCUGUGCUGACAGCUCAGAG